GACGAACGCUGGCGGCGCGCUUAACACAUGCAAGUCGAACGGAAAGGCCUGCUUUCCCUUGUGGAUUGCGGGUACUCGAGUGGCGAACGGGUGAGUAACACGUGAGUGAUCUGCCCCCAACUUGGGUAUAAGCCUGGGAAACUGGGUCUAAUUCCCGAUAGGACUGCAGGGUGGUGCCCGUGGUGGAAAACGAUUUUCUAGUGGUUGGGGAUGAGCUCGCGGCCUAUCAGCUUGUUGGUGGGGUAAUGGCCUACCAAGGCGGCGACGGGUAGCCGGCCUGAGAGGGUGGACGGCCACAUUGGGACUGAGAUACGGCCCAGACUCCUACGGGAGGCAGCAGUGGGGAAUAUUGCACAAUGGGCGGAAGCCUGAUGCAGCGACGCCGCGUGGGAGAUGACGGCCUUCGGGUUGUAAACUCCUUUCGACCGCGAGGAAGCCACCUGGUUGGAAGGGUGGUGACGGUAGUGGUAGAAGAAGCACCGGCUAACUACGUG
rnacentral:rRNA from 1 species